rnacentral:rRNA from 1 species
GAUGAACGCUAGCUACAGGCUUAACACAUGCAAGUCGAGGGACCGGCGCACGGGUGAGUAACACGUAUCCAACCUGCCCUUUACUCGGGGAUAGCCUUACGACAGAAAGAUUAAUACCCGAUGUAAAGGAUGGGGAUGCGUUCCAUUAGGUUGUUGGUGAGGUAACGGCUCACCAAGCCUUGGCUGGAUAGGGGUUCUGUGAGGAAGGUCCCCCACAUUGGAACUGAGACACGGUCCAAACUCCUACGGGAGUCAGCAGUGAUGUAUAGUGGUCAAUGUGCGUUAGCCUGAACCAGCCAAGUAGCGUGAAGGAUGAAGGCUUAUGGGUCGUAAACUUCUUUUAUAUAAGAAUAUGUAUUAUAUGAAUAAGGAUCGGCUAACUCCGUGCCAGCAGCCGCGGUAAUUC